rnacentral:rRNA from 1 species
GACGAACGCUGGCGGCGUGCCUAAUACAUGCAAGUAGAACGCUGAAGGAGGAGCUUGCUUCUCUGGAUGAGUUGCGAACGGGUGAGUAACGCGUAGGCAACCUGCCUGGUAGCGGGGGAUAACUAUUGGAAACGAUAGCUAAUACCGCAUAAUAUUGACUAUUGCAUGAUAGUCAAUUAAAAGGUGCAAUUGCAUCAUUACCAGAUGGACCUGCGUUGUAUUAGCUAGUUGGUGGGGUAACGGCUCACCAAGGCGACGAUACAUAGCCGACCUGGGAGUGUGAUCGGCCACACUGGGAAUGGGACACGGCCCAGACUCCUACGGGAGGCAGCAGUAGGGAAUCUUCGGCAAUGGACGGAAGUCUGACCGAGCAACGCCGCGUGAGUGAUGAAGGUUUUCGGAUCGUAAAACUCUGUUGUUAGGGAAGAACAAGUACGAGAGUAACUGCUCGUACCUUGACGGUACCUAACCAGAAAGCCACGGCUAACUACGUGCCAGCAGCCGCGGUAACAC